UAGAGUUUGAUCCUGGCUCAGAACGAACGCUGGCGGCAGGCUUAACACAUGCAAGUCGAGCGCCCCGCAAGGGGAGCGGCAGACGGGUGAGUAACGCGUGGGAAUCUACCUUUUGCUACGGAAUAACUCAGGGAAACUUGUGUUAAUACCGUAUGUGCCCUUCGGGGGAAAGAUUUAUCGGCAAAGGAUGAGCCCGCGUUGGAUUAGCUAGUUGGUGGGGUAAAGGCCCACCAAGGCGACGAUCCAUAGCUGGUCUGAGAGGAUGAUCAGCCACACUGGGACUGAGACACGGCCCAGACUCCCACGGGAGGCAGCAGUGGGGAAUAUUGGACAAUGGGCGCAAGCCUGAUCCAGCCAUGCCGCGUGAGUGAUGAAGGCCCUAGGGUUGUAAAGCUCUUUCACCGGUGAAGAUAAUGACGGUAACCGGAGAAGAAGCCCCGGCUAACUUCGUGCCAGCAGCCGCGGUAA
rnacentral:rRNA from 1 species